rnacentral:lncRNA from 1 species
GCACUUUAAUUUUCUAUGUUCAAUGGAACGUAGAAUUGGGAUCAAAAGUCUAAUUUGGCUUUAAAAUAAGAAAGAUCAUAUUAUAAGGAACAUGUGUACUAAGUUUAAAGUUGAUUGGACUUCAGCUUCAUCAAAAUCUACCUUGACCAAAAACUUUAACCUGAAACUUGCACUUUCAUUUUCUAUGUUCAGUGGACCGUGAAAUUGGGGUCAAAAGUCUAAUUUGGCUUUAAAAUAAGAA